rnacentral:lncRNA from 1 species
AUGUACAUGGCAGGCAUGCAGUGCUUGAAAAUCGAUCUCUCUUUGCCAUUGGGACAGAUCAGUACAGUUUGGAUCCAAACCAGAUCUAACCUCCUCAGGAAUUCAGGAUGUUGUUCAGAUGCAGAGUUCUGGUUCAGCCCACUAGAAAGGCUGGAGCAGGACACUGGCCCCUUACAGACCCCAGAUGUGGGGCUGUUUGGCUCCUCUGAGGUGGGGCAGGCCCAGCUCCACUUUUCAAGAUGGUAUAUAGGAGCUAUUGUGAAGGAUAAUAAUGUUGUCUCCACUUUUUUCUUAUUUCUCAGAGAGCCAAGGGGGCUGCUGCUGCCACUGCAGGGCCCUGAGAACCCAAGAACAGACAGACAGGCAGAACUGAGGAGCCAGCCCAGAAAUAUUCCAUGGAGCUGGGACCAUGCAUCCCUGUGGACUAUUAAAUUAGAAUUGAUUCCUGGCCUCUGAUGGAUUUUCAGUCAUUCUUCUCCAUUCAGCCAGGCAGGAAGGGGGAACAUAGGUAUCAAGAAAUUCUUUAGUGCUCACCAUUUUGAAGCACACAGUGUGUGUAGGAGGUGAUCAUAGAACAAGGUGUUAUAAUACUGGACUGGAAGACAGAUCUAAUCUCAGCUGUGCUGGGGGGAGGGAUAGCUCAGUGGUUUGAGCAUUGGCCUGCUAAACCCAGGGUUGUGAGGGAGCCAUUUAGGGAUCUGGGGCAAAAAUCAGUGUGGGGAUUGGUCCUGCUUUGAGCAGGGGGUUGGACUAGAUGACCUCCUGAGGUCUCUUCCAACCCUGAUAUUCUAUGUGCCUUGGACAAGUCACUGUGUCUCAGUGUCCCCACCAAUAAAAUGGAAAUAAUGAUAGUGACUGCA